rfam:Triticum aestivum genome assembly, contig: Triticum_aestivum_CS42_TGACv1_scaffold_623837_7DS
UUAUUACUCCCUCCGUCCAAAAAUACUUGUCAUCAAAAUGGAUAAAAAGAGAUGUAUCUAGAACUAAAAUAUGUCUAGAUACAUCUCCUUUAAUUCAUUUUGAUGACAAGUAUUUCCGGACGGAGGGAGUAGAAC